GUCCAGAACUGGUUCAGCUGCUUCCCCAUUUUUAGAAGGUUGGCUUUUGCCUUCCUGCUUCUUAUUUCAUGGUCACAAGAUGGUUAUUAUUUCUCCGAGCACUAGCUGUAAAGGGCAAGGUAUAAAAGCAUGAAGGGAUAUAUAUGCUGUCUUUGUUAGGUGGGGCCUCUGAGAAACUUUUUACAAUAAUCAGACUUCUUGUGUCUUAGUGGCCAGAACUGUAUCACAUGGUCACUUGCAGCUAGAAAAUGACAAGGGAGACAAUGCAUGUCAUGUUUCUUUCAUUUAAUAUCUUUCAGCAUGAUAGUCUAGGUACCUAAAAUUAUUAUAAUAAUGUACCUUUUAGAUUUACAUUGGUGCAGAAGCAUACAGUGGAAUUUAACCAAGUGGCGAUGGCUAAUUCAGAUGGAUCCGAAGCUAUGCUGAACAGAGUGAUGACAAAAGAUAACAUUGGUGUUGCUGUGGUAUUAGAGGUCCACAAAGAACUAUUUGGAGCAGGUAUGAAGCCUAUUCAUGCUGCAGACAAACAGCUGCUUAUAGUGGCAAAUGCCCACAUGCAUUGGGACCCAGAGUAUUCUGAUGUGAAGCUCAUCCAGACCAUGAUGUUUGUCUCAGAGGUUAAAAACAUUCUGGAGAAAGCCUCUAGUAGGCCUGGCAGCCCAACUGCAGAUCCUAAUUCCAUCCCGCUGGUGCUAUGUGCAGA
rnacentral:sRNA from 1 species